GGAAGCAUGGCUCAAUAGUAGAGUACCUGCCUAGCAAGCACAAGACCCUGAGUUCAGACUUCAGUACUGCUG
rnacentral:tRNA from 1 species